rnacentral:tRNA from 1 species
GCAAGGAUAGUUUAAUAGAAAAAUAACCGGCUGUAUCGGUAGAUGUAGGUUCAAAUCCUGCCCCUUGCA